rnacentral:lncRNA from 1 species
ACGGCUACAAUUAGUGACCCUCGAAGUUUGCGCCCUUCGACUGGAUCAAGCGAUUCGGCUGAUGAGGGAUCGAAUAAGCCGGGUCCGAAAGCUCUUUUCACUCUUCGGUUCGGCUGGAUGAGCCGAAUAUGCGGGGAAAGUCGGAAAUUAAGCCGGGAGAUGAGCUGAAUGGCUAGCACAACACAAAAUCUGGUCGGCCUGAAUAGCCGAACGUGACUUUCUAUUGAAUAGAAAAUGGAAAAGUACAAAAACAGGGGAGUGAUGCCCGUGGAGCAGACAGACUCCAAGUAUAUUCUACAAGGGAGUGAUGCCCAUGGAGCAGACAGACUCCAAGUAUAUUCUACAAGGGAGUAAUGCCCAUGGGGCAGACAGACUCCAAAGAUCUAAG